rnacentral:rRNA from 1 species
AGGGUGUAAACGCUGCAGACUUGGUGUUGGAAGCCCCUUUGGGGGCGAUUCAGUGCCGGAGAGAAGUUGUUAAGUCUGCUACUUGGGGAGUACGUCCGCAAGGAUGAAACUUAAAGGAAUUGGCGGGGGAGCACCGCAACGGGAGGAGCGUGCGGUUUAAUUGGAUUCAACGCCGGAAAGCUCACCGGAUAAGACAGCGGAAUGAUUGCCGGGCUGAAGACUCUGCAUGACUAGCUGAGAGGAGGUGCAUAGCGUCAGUGACU